UAAUUGAAGAGUUUGAUCAUGGCUCAGAUUGAACGCUGGCGGCAGGCCUAACACAUGCAAGUCGAGCGGUAGCACAAGAGAGCUUGCUCUCUGGGUGACGAGCGGCGGACGGGUGAGUAAUGUCUGGGAAACUGCCUGAUGGAGGGGGAUAACUACUGGAAACGGUAGCUAAUACCGCAUAACGUCUUCGGACCAAAGUGGGGG
rnacentral:rRNA from 1 species